UUGGCCGAUUCGUUAUCAGAGCGAGCGGGCGGGCUGUGCUGCGUGGGCAUUUGGCAGCCUGUCUGCCGCUAAAUCAUUUAUUUGCAUCUCAUUCAGUGCUGCAUGUGAUGACCACUAUCGCUGAUUACUAUGGAGUCAACACGCUCGUCCAGUACGCCGAGCUCAUAAUGGACUGGCUGAUUGAUGAGGUGAUGCUGGAUGCAGCGAUGCUGAUCGCGCCCAUCGCCAUCUACAUCGUCAUCAGGCACAUUUUGGUCGAGGACACCGAUGACCCUCGCAGGGUCAUUUACACCCAGGCAGGAUGGAAUUACUACAUCAAAAAGUUUUGGGCUCGCUAUUGUUUGGGAAAACGCUGGCCCGGCGAAGAGCCUUUGGAGAAGAAAAAGGAAAUUUACUCGGUGACCGCCACUCCUUACGAGACCAAACUGGAAACUCCGCGAAAAAUUAAAAAGGACAUGGACAUGGACAGUAUGACGAUAUUUGGCUGUGAUUCAAAAGGUACCACGCUGAAAUUGAACAUAGUCCGAAAGUUUCAACAUUCAGAAGUUUGGGUUUAUCUGUCUCUUCCCAAUGGUGCUGUCUAUCAACUUCCAGAACACCCGGACACGACGUACCUAAGCGGCCAAUGGCGGCAGUUCGAAGCGGCCGACUUGAAAUUCACCGCGAUCGAGCCGAUGCGAAGAUGGCGAAUAACUUUUAAUGGCACAUUACGCAAAGGUGUUGCUAAUGAAUGGCGAUUAGAACACGACGAGGCCGCGCUGCUGCACGUCAGAUUCAAUUUCAUAUGGACGGCGUGCAGCGAUUACGUGGAAACGAGAGAUUCGUGGGACAGCACGCUGCUGAGCGAAGCGUUAGCCAGGGAAACGUGGAGAGACGGCGACUGGCUUGACAUGGUUUUCAUGGAGCCAGAGGGAUAUGAUCAAUUUGGUGUCAUGGAUGGCAUUGUGAAAAUCGGCGCAGAUGACGAAGGGUCGCGCCUUUACCUCCGUGGCGUGCGUCAAAGGCGAUGGGGCGAAGUCAACGAAGCGAAUUUGUUACGGAGCGUUCGCGUGCACGGUGUGGCGCCUGACGGAUGCUUUUUCACGUUAAACACUAGUUGCAGGCGCGACGGACUCACAAUGGCAAAAUGGGGUCUGGUGCGCACCCCAACGGGCAGGGUUAACAGGGUGGACAAAAGCAAUUUCGACCUUGCAAAUACAGGCCAUCACAAAAAUUUGCCAGGCCAACUCAAGUUGAAUUUCUCAACAAAUUCUAAAAACUACAUCGUCAGCGUGCAGCUUGAGGAACGUUCUGGUGCCGUCGUUUACAGCGGUCAACCUUGGAGACAACAGACGUUCCUCAGGAAGCUGCAGUUUGGGAUCAAUGGCUUGCAAGGCGUUGGAUUCACAGAGUUUGCGUAUUGGUAUAGAGGGCCUUGCAACGCAGAAAGGCCUGUGCCCGUCACUUUUCUGCGGCCCAAGAAGUGGGACUGCUUGAGAGACGGCCACGUGCCUCUGGUGUGCGACCUGCGGGAAAAGGCGGCGCAGAUCGAGACUCUGGUGGGCGGAAAAGCGCUUUCGCUGGCGCUGCUCAAAUCACUUGACGAUUGCCGAUUCGACGUCCCCAGCGGCUUCUGCGUGACCAGCGAGGCGUACGCCAGGCAGACUCAAACCUUUCCUCUGCUUCAAUCGGCCGUCGAUUUGCUCAAAGAUGCGGCCACCGGCCAAAAGGAGCUCGAACUCAAAUGCGUCUGCCGCAAAGUGGCUGAAGCAUUUGAAGUUACAAAACUUUGCCAAGAUGUGACAAAUGUGAUGGAAAACUAUUUAGAUAAAUACAGUGACGAAACUAUUUUUGCCGUGCGUUCAUCUGCAAUUGGAGAGGACUCGGCUGACCUCUCAAGUGCAGGUCAAAAUUCAACAAUUUUGGGCGUCAAACGUCAAAACGUCGCUCAGGCUGUGAUGAAGUGUUGGGCCUCCCUCUUUUCCGAACAUUCGGUCAUGUACCGAUGGCAGCAUGGACAAGAAUUGGACCCUGGGAUGGCCGUCGUGGUGCAGGUCAUGGUUCCCGCGAAUGCCGCGGGAGUUCUUUUCACGCGGCACCCCUUUACCGGAAACCCGCGACAAAUUGUCAUCACUGCCAAUUAUGGUCUGGGAGAGAGCGUCGUGUCGGCGAGCGCUGAACCGGACACAGUUCUGAUCUCACGCAGCCGGAAUAACAAUAGCCUGAAGAUCGAGCAAGUGCAGAUUGGCUCGAAAAAGGACAGCAUCUUUCUGUCAACGAGUGGCGAGGGCACCGAAAGUAUUAAUAUUGCCGACGAGCAGAGGGAAAAAUUGUGCUUGAGUGACGAUCUGCUGCUCAAACUGGCCCAAAUUGGAGAGGCCCUCGAGAGGCAAUUCGGUUCGCCAAGGGACAUUGAGUGGGCUGUUCUUGAGGACAAGAUUCAUCUGCUGCAAGCACGUCCCAUCACAGCCCUAGACUCUUGGACUGACUUUGAACUGGAGCACGAGCUAGACAUGCCCAUCGUCAUGGACAACGACAUUCUAUCAAUCGCCAACACUGGUGAGGUGUUCCCCGGUGCAACGAAGCCGCUGACCCAGUCGGUGUUGACCAGGCUGCUGGACCUGGAGAUCCAAGAACAAUGCAUCAAGAGGAACAAAAAUAGGUCCUUCUGCAAUCUAUACCAGUCGUUUGUUGGCACCACUUCAAACCACGUUGUUAUCAGCGUCAUCAACACGGUGCUGAGCAACCUUGAUGAAAAAAUUGGGACCACCAACAAAGUGAUGGACCUGGCUGUGUUUGGCCAUUUGGUCACCGACGAGCGCCUCCACUCGACCGGCGUGCAAAGGUUCGGCUACAUGAGUUCUUUCACGAAAUUCCUCACCAUUUACGACAUGCUUAUGGACACGAUGUCUGCCGGCAAAGUAGAAAAAUCUGGCAAAAGGGAGGUGCAGAAUUACAAAGUGAGCCACUCAAAAAAUGCCAGCGCGGAAGAGCUGAUGAGCGCUAUUCAACAAAGUCUGCCUCACUUUGUGAAGAUUAUUAGAAUGCACGGCCACAUGUCCAGGGUUAGCAUUUUCACACAGGUCGCUGCCAUGUCGGUUCUCACAGAAAACAACGAUGAUUGGUGCACAGAUCAUUACACCGACAUAUCUUUGCUGCUCUCGUCAUGUUCGAACGUUGAGUCGGCCGAAAUUCCGAGCCAGCUGCGCGAAAUAGCUGCCAUGAUCGCCGAGGAGGAUUCUGAUUUUUUCACGUCCGCCGAGCCGGCGAUCGCUUUUAAUUGGAUUCUGAAGGAGUCGGAAGCGGCCUCCAAAUUCACUUCAUUCCUCGAAGCGCACGGCCACCGGUCCAUCAGAGAGUUCGAGUUUCACACGGCCACAUGGGGAAUGAAUCCGGAGAGCCUCAUCAAAACGCUGCAGGCGCUGGUCAAGAGUCCGCACCCCGCGCCUGAAAAUGCCAUAUCCCUGUCGGUCAAUGAGACCUGCCAAAUUCUCAAAUCGCCAACCAAAGGCGGAACAAGACGAGCCCUGCGCUUUUUACUGCCGCACUGUCGGACGGCGGUAGCGCGCCGAGAAAAGUCGAAAUCUGGAUUAAUUUGUGCGGUGCACGUCUUACGAACGGCGUAUCGGCGUUUAGCUCGAUUAUUGGUGCGUGAGGGUCGUCUACCUGAGGCGGACCUGCUCUUCUACAUGACCAACCACGAGAUCAGCCGUUUGGUGAGCCAUCGAGACCCCGUGCUGCUUGCCAAGGCGGCAAGAAGGAGACGGCUUUGGCACCACUGGGAGAGCUUGAAGUACGAGGAAAUUUUCUUCGGGGUGCCGCGACCAGUCCAGGAACAAGAAAAUUCUAUGGUGGGAAUUCAAACGAUGAAGGCGACGCCAGUGUGCUCAGGGGUGGUUUUGGGCCGGGCUUGCGUUGUCUCCGAGCUGAGCCAGACGGCUGACAUUGUGCGCGGCGACAUUCUCAUCACCCACUGCACAGACAUCGGCUGGAGUCCCUAUUUCCCUUUGCUGGCCGGCAUAGUCACCGAGCUCGGAGGGCUCAUAUCUCACGGAGCCGUAAUUGCCAGGGAGUACGGACUGCCAUGCAUCGUUGGAGCGACAAACGCAACCCAAAUCUUCCGCACAGGCUUCAGCCAAAUAAUUGGCAGUUGAUCGAAGAGGACUUUGGGCAGACUUUCGUCCAGCAGCCCUGUUUCUCGGUUGAAACGCGCCCCCUCCAAGAAAAGGCCCUUAGGCCCCGAUUUUUGGUGCGUCGCUGGCAGUGUCUGUGUCUAGGAUGUCAAACUCGAAGCCCACAGCAUCGAUGGGCACUUUGAAGAAUCGAGCGUAGUUCUGCAUGACGCCUGUCAGGAAAGACUGGGUGAAGUAAAAUCCGGAGAUCCAGUAGACGUUGGGCGCUCCAAAUUUGAUCCAGUCGUCAAAGAACUGAAGCCUCUUGAGAAGGUCGUUGACAUAACUGGCCAGAGGCUUCAGUGAUGGGUACGACUUGGCCAGCCAGAACUGAGGCACUCGACCAAGAAGGAGGCUGCCCUGAAUUUCCUCAAGCUCAGGGGUCAUCACCACUUGACCUUUGAUGGCCUUUUGCAUCAUUGAAAGCGAGGAACGAAUCCUGCUGGUCAGUCUGUUGAACCUGAUGAGCUCCUGCACCAAAAAAGAGAAUUGCAUUACGGAAUAUAAUUUAAUUAUUUCUUAUUACUUGGCGCAGGACAGUGUUCAUGGAGUUGUUGUAAUCGAAGGGGAACUUUUCGCCCACUACCUUCAAGUUGAAUCCGUCCGGCAUUCUCUCCAAAAUGUCUUCAGCAAUCUCGUGCAGAACCUGCAGAGAAGCGCCUCCAGCGCCCAUUCCACCAAUGCUAGGUUGAGUCUCCAAAGCUCCAUUCAAGAACUAACAAUUGGAAUAAGUUGCUUCCGUAUAAUUAAUAAUUGUGAUUUUAUUUUACCUCAUUGGUCUCUUGCAUUUCCUUUGUGAUCUCGGCAUUCUCGUGGAGGCCAAACAACUCGGGUCUAGCAGUGAGAGGCAUGGCUUGAAUGUUGGCAAUGCAGCCUUCUUGCAGGGUGUUCUCUGGCAUUGAGUAAACGCCACUAUGGGAAAAUUUGUAGCUGCAAUAAAUAAUAAAUCAUUGCUGUGUUGUUUUUAAUGGUUAAAUUUUACCCAGCCUCUUCGACAACAGCAGAUGACAGGAAAUUGGUCAGGAGAGAAGCAAUCAGGCGUCUGUCGUUGCCAUCAGUGACUCUUCCUCCAUAGAAACACUCAGAAAUCAAAUAGUGCAAGGCGUCGAAUGGGAUCUUUGUUGCGUUUUUGAGGAAUUUCUAGAAUUAAAUAUUUGUUUUACCAGAGAAAAUUGACAAAAUUCACAAUCGAUUUUGCUUACAUCCAUCUGCUUGAUUGAAAUAUCAAAGUCAGAGUCGUUGAACUCGUACGGGAUGUUCCAGCCCAAGGGCCCGAAGCUUCGUCUUUCCUGGACCAUGGCGUGGAAAAGGCAAACGCCAAAGAGCAGCUUCUGGUGUGCUACAGACCGCUUGGACAGGUAGUCUUCAGAGCUGAGCGGCUCAUUAAGGUACAUGCGCAUCAUGUUCGAGCGCAGUCCCUUAGGCGCCUCGUUGGUCAUUUUGAUGCCGCUUUGAAGGAUGGACACAGGGAAUGAAGACGAUGGGUAGCUGGUCAGCCACAGUCUGAAAUCUUUGUCAGCUACGUCCGGUUUCAAAAGCUCGUUGCACAGGUGCUCCAGUUGAGCCAUCCAACUUGUGGCCAGGUGGCAGUUGUUCAGGAUGACCCAAGAGCGAGACUUGACGGCCUGCUUGAUAGCAAUCUCAGCCUUCUCGCCCUGACCCUUGCCCAUAGAGAAGAAAAUCAGCUUCUUGGCGUCCAUUUCAAAGGCCAGUUGGUAAAGUGAGGACGUGGGAUCGGAGCCCGCAGAAAGGAUGAAGAUGAGAGGAGUUGAGCAAGUGGAGUCUUCGAAGACUUUGCUCAGGUUGAAGGUUGGUGGGUCGACAUAUUUUGAACCAAUCUCGUUGGCAAUCAGCUUCUGGACAGCAGGGACAAGCUUGUUAGGCUUAAGGCACUUGAUGACUGCCAGCCAUCCCAGCCUGCAAACUUUGUCCAUCGGUGCAGGAAGCGUCUUUUCAUGGGGACUCGGGUCAUUGAACCAAUCCUCCCACUGCUUCACACUUAGUCUUACGCUGCUUUCGAAUUCCGAGAGUCUAUAAAGUGUGUGAAACAUUGAUAAAAACAUUAAAUUUCAAGCGUAAUAAUUAAUAUUUACUGAGCAAUCAUUUUUGUAGCCCUGCAAAUGUCUCCCCACAUCUUCUCAGUGAGCCACGAAGGGUCCGGAUUUUCACUAAUGUCGCCAGUUGCUCCAGUGGUGAGAAGGAAUUUUAGUGCUUCUUCCUCAAUAACACCCUAAUCAAAAGAAAUCAGGAAUAUUCGUUUAAAAAGGUAUUUAAAUUUCAUACACUGAGUCGCAUCAUGGCCACACACAAGUUGAAGGAGAAAAUGAGUUUGUGCUUCUCAAAUAGAGAUUGGCAGACGUUUCUGUAGAGGUUGUAGGUGAAAGUCUCUUUAAUGACAUCAAGCCACAUUGAUGGGUCCUCUGGCUUUUCUGCUGUUUUGAUUGACUAAAAUUAUAAUUAAUUAGUAAAAAUACCAUUAUAAGGUUGAUAUGUCUUACAUGAACAUAAAGGCUCAUGUACCAAUUCAGAGAGUACUGAUACAUUGGUUCCAAGCUUCCAAGAGCAGAAAUACAGAAGAAGAGUUCAGAAGCGUGACGAGCUACAGUCAAGUAAAUGGCCCUUGUGUCUUCGAGCAGUUUCUCCGUCUCUUUGGCUUUCUCUUGUUUUGCUUUAAUUGUUUCUGACAAUUUCUGUGCACAGCAAAUAAAUUAUUUUUGCACCACGUUAAUGAAAAAUUUAAAUACCUUCGCAUUGGUAAGAGUGUUGAUUGCCGUCUCAUCCUCAAGAAUGUCACCUUCCGCCUUGGAAAGAACGUCCAAGAUCCUCCUCUCGGUCUCGACGAGUUCCUUCCUAUUUUGAGCGCCUUCCACAAUCAGAAGCUGCCGACACUCUUCCAGAUCCGGCCUUUCUGUAGCCACCACAAGGCCAAGCAACUGAUCCUCAAGACCCUGCGGCGUGAUGGCAAAGUUAAGGAGCGUCACCAUGAUGGCAGUUUCGGGCAGGUAGUGAGGGUUUGACAGGCGAGUGGUCAGGAAAAGCUUGAAGUUUUCAUUGUAGCGAACAACGUCGUUUCCCACUUUGAUGUUCAGCAUUCCACCAAGAACAUAAGUUUGCUUGAGGAACAGAGGAUCUAGAAUUGAAUGGUAAUGUAAAAUUAUUCAUUUCAAUUUAUAAAUAUUGAGCUCACUCAAAGCUGGGUCAAGUUCUUCACCGACAUCUUCAAUAAGAGCUGGAUAUCCACUGGUGAUUGCUCUUUGCAGCUCAUCAGUAUAUUUUGGACUUGACAUUUUCAGGACUACCAGGUUGUAAUCUUUGUAUGCAUUUUUGAUCCAGUUAUUGGCCUGACCCUGGGGAUCGAUGAAGAGAGGCCAUCUGCCAGCAUUGUGGGAAAUGAUGGCAUUAUCUUGGGAGAAGUCAUCCACGGGCAGGCCAGCAAUGGCCCAGUCUUGAAUUUGCACAGGAUCGCCCAGUGAACUGAGCAUGGAGUAACUGUCUGAGCAGGGAAUGUUGAUCUCUUUGCACUUCUUGAUCCAUUUCUUUUGAAUAUCCUGGAACCAAUUAAAAAUUAAUCAAUCUUUGUUCUUUCUUAAUCAGAACAAAAAAUGAAAAUACUUUUUUUCAUACAAUAAUUUGGCAACUGCUCUAUUUACCUUUCUGUAGUCAACAGAAAAUGGGCCCAAGUAAGCAAUGAUUCCCACUGACAGGAGCAUGUCUCCAACAACAGUGGCUAAGCGUCCUCGGUGGAAAGUUUCCAAUUCAGCCCAUCGGACUCUUUCCCCUCCGACACCAG